GUGCAAAGAAGGUUUGCAGAGGUGCAUUCUCAAAUGCAAGACUCCAGGUUACAAAUCAGUUCAUGAAGACGGUGAAAGGGCUUCCAGUAUUCCAUUUUCGGCAGUAUUCAGAUAUCUAUUUGACCGCAGAGGAGUACCAACAGGUCCAACUCCCGUGGUUGGAGGACCGUCCAGAUGCUUAUCGGGCCCUUUGUGUACUAUGGGCUUCUGAAGCAUUUCAAGAGAAAUCAAAGAAGAAAAGACACUGUGCCACGAAGGGUGUCAACCAUACGUUUGGAGGCGAUGGAUACAUUCGUACGGCUAAACGAAUGGUAAGACAGUACAGAGCUCUUUCAUAAACCUAUAUAUAGUUAUAUGCUACUAAUUGCUAAAAGCAGGAAGUGGCAACUGGUGUCGAGCCAUCACCCAUCGAUGUGUAUCUCCGGGGGCAUAGGGGACCAGACCCGGCACAUCCGGAGGUCCUAUGUAGUCAGCAAGCGUCAGACCGAUUGGAGCUAUAUGGGCAGGAGAUGAUUAGACGCCAUGGUGAAAACUUCGAUUGGCGGAAGGGACCUAUUGAUCCAGAGGCGUUGCAUGCUAGCGGUGGUGGAAAGGCGCAUGGAC